rnacentral:rRNA from 1 species
UACGUAGGGUGCGAGCGUUAAUCGGAAUUACUGGGCGUAAAGAGUGCGUAGGCGGUUCUUGAAGUCCGCUGUGAAAGCCCCGGGCUUAACCUGGGAAUGGCAGUGGAAACUGGGGGACUUGAAUUGAGCAGAGGGGGGUGGAAUGCCGCGUGUAGCAGUGAAAUGCGUAGAGAUGCGGCGGAACACCGAUGGCGAAGGCAGCCCCCUGGGCUUAAAUUGACGCUGAGGCACGAAAGCGUGGGGAGCAAACGGG